GUCUUUUUGAUUAUAAUUUAAAGUCUAACCUACCCACUGAAUAUUUUGAAGGGCCGCGGUAUUUUGACUGUGCAAAGGUAGCAUAAUCAUUAGUCUUUUAAUUGGAGGCUUGUAUGAAUGGUUGGAUGAGGUAUUAACUGUCUCAAUUUAAUAAAUAAUAGAAUUUUAUUUUUAAGUUAAAAAGCUUAAAUUUUAUUAAAAGACGAGAAGACCCUAUAGAUCUUUAUAAUUAAUUUUAUAAUAAUUUUUUAGAUUAAAUUUAUUUUUAUAAGAUAAAUUAUUAUAUUGGGGUGAUAAAAAAAUUUAUAAAACUUUUUUUAUAUUAAAACAAUGAUAUUUGAUUAAUUGAUCCAUUUUUUGUGAUUAUAAGAUUAAGUUACCUUAGGGAUAACAGCGUAAUUUUUUUGGAGAGUUCAUAUCGAUAAAAAAGAUUGCGACCUCGAUGUUGAAUUAAAGGUUAAUUUUAGGUGUAGAAGUUUAAAAUUUUGGUCUGUUCGACCAUUAAAUC
rnacentral:rRNA from 1 species